rnacentral:tRNA from 1 species
GGCGACAUAGCUCAGUGGUAGAGUAGGAGAAUCAUAAACUCUUGGUCGAAGGUUCAAGUCCUUCUGUCGCUA